rnacentral:rRNA from 1 species
UAAUACGGAGGGAGCUAGCGUUGUUCGGAAUUACUGGGCGUAAAGCGAGCGCAGGCUGUGUAUCAAGUCAGGGGUGAAAUCCCGGAGCUUAACUCCGGAAUUGCCUUUGAAACUGAUACGCUAGAGUCUGGAAGAGGGUGGUGGAAUUCUUAGUGUAGCGGUGAAAUGCGUAGAUAUUAAGAGGAACACCAGUGGCGAAGGCGGCCACCUGGUCCAGUACUGACGCUAUAGCUCGAAAGCGUGGGGAUCAAACAGG